ACCCAAAUCAAAAGUUUUUGCGAACUAAACAAGACCUAAGUUUGCUCUGUGAAACUGGGACAUGUUACAGCAGAGCGACACGCCACUCUGAAUCAGGAUUCGGUGCGAUACUGUCAUGAAUGUGGCACACGUGCACUGUCUAUGUAAACCAAGAUGCUCACAAGAUCCCAGGAGCUGUGGCAGCUAGUCAGAUUUCCAAGAACCAAUCAGCCAAACCACUGCUAUCUUGGGCUUAGUUACAUUACAUACAUACACAACGGGCUCGGAGCAAAGAUGAGACUCAUGAGAGGCCUCAACAGCAGAAGCUAAACUGCUGCAUGUACUUACCUGAAAUAGUACAUGAACCGCUCUCUUGUUGGAUAGCAAAAGGAAAGGAGAAUCAAUUCACAGGGCUCACAGCUCAGAUAGGAGAUGAAGCAGCAGAAGUGCUGGUGCUCGUUCCUCAGCCAUAAGCUGCUCGCGGUACUGAUGUCUGUCGCCAUACUUGCAGUGAUGCUCACCGGCUUCCUCACAGGAGCAGCGGCGUCCAUGGGCAAGCGAGGGCACGGCGAGCCACCACCACCUCCAAUCUCCGAUGCUAGCCAUCACCAAUCUUCCAGGUCUCCGGAUCACGACAUGCAACCCCUGUCACCAGACAAAAGCUAGACGAACCGGUGGGGCAUCUCGACAUUGUUUGUUGUGUUCUACAAGAGAAGUUAUCUUCCCCAAAAACUGAAAACUAAGUAAACAAACUCGGUGUACUGCAAAGUUCUCUUCUCCAUCAUUUUGAUUUCAGAUUAGAGACUGCUUCCCAGUUCCCGUUCUAUUGCAAAAUUUCUCUAGCGUUUGUUCCUCUUACAGAAGGAUCACUGAGUGGAUACUCCCUUUGCGCUUAUGUAAUUGCAUUCUUUAUGUAACCUUUUUCCCGUUUUUCCUACGCAGUAACUUUUUGAAGCAAACUAUUGCAAUUAUUAUUUGUCAAUGAACCAAACAAUCAAGAUA